rnacentral:rRNA from 1 species
AGAGUUUGAUCAUGGCUCAGAGUGAACGCUGGCGGCGUGCUUAACACAUGCAAGUCGAACGAGAACGGAUUAUAGCUUGCUAUAAUUGUCAGCUAAGUGGCGCACGGGUGAGUAAUGUAUAGAUAACCUGCCCUCUAGAAAGGAAUAACAGUUGGAAACGACUGCUAAUGCCCUAUAUGCCUUUAAUACAUAAGUAUGCAAGGGAAACGCUUUAGUGCUAGAGGAUGGGUCUGUAUGGUAUCAGCUUGUUGGUGAGGUAAUGGCUCACCAAGGCUAUGACGCCUAACUGGUUUGAGAGGAUGAUCAGUCACACUGGAACUGAGACACGGUCCAGACUCCUACGGGAGGCAGCAGUGGGGAAUAUUGCACAAUGGACGAAAGUCUGAUGCAGCAACGCCGCGUGGAGGAUGACACAUUUCGGUGCGUAAACUCCUUUUAUAUAGGAAGAUAAUGACGGUACUAUAUGAAUAAGCACCGGCUAACUCCGUGCCAGCAGCCGCGGUAAUACGGAGGGUGCAAGCGUUACUCGGAAUCACUGGGCGUAAAGAGCGUGUAGGCGGGUAUAUAAGUCAGAAGUGAAAUCCAAUAGCUUAACUAUUGAACUGCUUUUGAAACUGUAUACCUAGAAUGUGGGAGAGGUAGAUGGAAUUUCUGGUGUAGGGGUAAAAUCCGUAGAGAUCAGAAGGAAUACCGAUUGCGAAGGCGAUCUACUGGAACAUUAUUGACGCUGAGACGCGAAAGCGUGGGGAGCAGACAGGAUUAGAUACCCUGGUAGUCCACGCCCUAAACGAUGCACACUAGUUGUUGUGAGGCUCGACCUUGCAGUAAUGCAGUUAACACAUUA